UCAAGCGAACAAGGGCGCAGGGCGAAUGCCUUGGCACUGGGAGCCGAUGAAAGACGUGAUAAGCUGCGAUAAGCUUCGGGGAGCUGCAAAUAAGCAUUGAUCCGGAGAUUUCUGAAUGAGGAAACUCACCUGGGUUCAUACUCAGGUACGUUAUACUGAACUUAAAAAUAGGUAUAUCGAGGGAACCGCCUGAACUGAAACAUCUAAGUAGGGCGAGGAAGAGACAUCAAACGAGAUUCCGUAAGUAGUGGCGAGCGAACGCGGAAGAGGGCAAACCGGAAGUAGAAAUACUUCCGGGGUACGGACCGCAUUUAGGACUUGAGUUGUUAACCGAACGGCAUGGGAAGGCCGGUCAGAGAGUGUGAGAACCACGUAGGUGAAAACGACAAGAGCUGAGCGAGUUCCAGAGUACGGCCAGACACGUGAAACCUGGUCGGAAUAUGGGGGGACCACCCUCCAACCCUAAAUACUACCCAGUGACCGAUAGCGUAUAGUACUGUGAAGGAAAGGUGAAAAGCACCCCGGGAGGGGAGUGAAAAAGAACCUGAAACCCUGUGCCUACAAGCACCUAGAGCACGUCAAUGUGUGAUAGGGUACUUUUUGUAGAACGGUCCGGCGAGCGAUUGUAUGCAGCAAGGUUAAGGACUUAAGGUCUGGAGCCGAAGCGAAAGCGAGUUUGAAAAGGGCGUUAAGUUGCAUACAAUGGGCCCGAAACCGGGUGACCUACCCAUGGUCAGGUUGAAGUGGAAGUAAAAUUCCAUGGAGGACCGAACCGACCUCCGUUGAAAAGGCGGCGGAUGAACUGUGGGUAGCGGAGAAAUUCCAAUCGAACCCGGAGAUAGCUGGUUCUCCCCGAAAUAGUUUUAGGACUAGCCUCAAGUUAGAUACCUGGAGGUAAAGCACUGAAUAGCCUAGCGGCCGAGAGGUUAGCGAAGCUUAUCAAACUCAGAAUGCCAGAGUAUUGAUGCUUGGGAGUCAGACAGUGUCAGAUAAAUGUCAUUGUCAAAAGGGAAACAGCCCAGAUCUACAGCUAAGGUCCCAAAGUCAGGUUAAGUGGAAAACGAUGUGAAGAUACGUAGACAACCAGGAUGUUGGCUCAGAAGCAGCCACACAUUCAAAGAGUGCGUAAUAGCUCACUGGUCGAGCGUCUUUGCGCGGAGAAUUUAACGGGGCUAAACCUGACACCGAAGCUUAGGCAAUACAGCAAUGUAUUGGGUAGGGGAGCGUUGUAUACGCGGUGAAACAGUAGCGCAAGCGGCUGUGGAGUGUAUAGAAGUGAGAAUGCCGGAAUGAGUAGCGCGAAUGCAGUGAGAAUCUGCAUGGCCGAAAGCCUCAGGUUUCUGGAGGAAGGUUCGUCCGCUCCAGGUUAGUCGGGAGCUAAGGUGAGGCCUAACGGCGUAGCCGAUGCACAGACGGUAGAGAUUCCGUCACCACCAAAAGAGUUAAACACAGGGACACAUUUGAAGUCUCGGAGCCGGGUGUUGGUUCCGGUAGCGAUCGAGGGAAGUUAGUACCGAAGUCCGGGAUGGAAGAUGGCGAGAAAAGCUGUGUGUAUUUCUGCGGUGCCCGUACCGCAAACCGACACAGGUAGGUAGGAAGAAGAUUCUAAGGCCAACGGGAGAAGGGUUGUUAAGGAACUCGGCAAAUUGACCCCGUAACUUCGGGAGAAGGGGUGCUCCAGAGAUGGAGCCGCAGAGAAUCGGCCCAAGCAACUGUUUACCAAAAACACAGGUUUGUGCUAAAUCGAAAGAUGACGUAUACGAGCUGACGCCUGCCCGGUGCUGGAAGGUUAAGAGGAGAUGUGCAAGCAUUGAAUCGAAGCCCCAGUGAACGGCGGCCGUAACUAUAACGGUCCUAAGGUAGCGAAAUUCCUUGUCAGGUAAGUUCUGACCCGCAUGAAAGGCGUAAUGAUUUGGGCACUGUCUCGACAGCCCGCCCGGCGAAAUUGUAGUACCGGUGAAGAUGCCGGUUACCCGCGACAAGACGGAAAGACCCCAUGGAGCUUUACUGUAGCCUAAUAUUGGGUUUCGAUGUUGCAUGCACAGGAUAGAUGGGACACAGGGAAACAAGUGCUUUGGCAUUUGUGGAGUGGCCGUUGGGAUACCAUCCUUGCGAUAUUGGAAUUCUAACCUGCGCCUUUGAAUCAAGGCGGGGGACAUUGUUAGGUGGGCAGUUUGACUGGGGCGGUCGCCUCCUAAAGAGUAACGGAGGCGUUCAAAGGUUCGCUCAGCUUGAACGGAAAUCAAGCAAAAGAGUGCAAACGCAGAAGCGAGCCUAACUGCGAGACUGACGGGUCGAGCAGUAACGAAAGUUGGAGUUAGUGAUCCGGUGGUAUGUGAGUGGAAAUGCCAUCGCUCAACGGAUAAAAGUUACCCUGGGGAUAACAGGCUGAUCUCCCCCAAGAGUCCACAUCGACGGGGAGGUUUGGCACCUCGAUGUCGGCUCAUCGCAUCCUGGGGCUGUAUUCGGUCCCAAGGGUUUGGCUGUUCGCCAAUUAAAGCGGUACGCGAGCUGGGUUCAGAACGUCGUGAGACAGUUCGGUCCCUAUCUGUCGUGGGCGCAGGAUAUUUGAUGGGAGCUGUUCCUAGUACGAGAGGACCGGAGCGGACGUACCUCUGGCGCACCAGUUGUUCUGCCAAGGGCAUAGCUGGGCAACUAUGUACGGAUCGGAUAAACGCUGAAAGCAUCUAAGCGUGAAGCCGACCCAAAGAUAAGAUAUCCCAUUGUUUCAAACAAGUAAGACCCCUUGAAGACUACAAGGUUGAUAGGCACGAUGUGUAAGUGGAGCGAUCCAUUCAGCAAGCGUGUACUAAUAGGUCGAGGGCUUGACCAC
rnacentral:rRNA from 1 species